GAUGAACGCUGGCGGCGUGCCUAAUACAUGCAAGUCGAGCGAACAGACGAGAAGCUUGCUUCUCUGAUGUUAGCGGCGGACGGGUGAGUAACACGUGGAUAACCUACCUAUAAGACUGGGAUAACUUCGGGAAACCGGAGCUAAUACCGGAUGAUAUUUUGAACCGCAUGGUUCAAAAGUGAAAGACGGUCUUGCUGUCACUUAUAGAUGGAUCCGCGCUGCAUUAGCUAGUUGGUAAGGUAACGGCUUACCAAGGCAACGAUGCGUAGCCGACCUGAGAGGGUGAUCGGCCACACUGGAACUGAGACACGGUCCAGACUCCUACGGGAGGCAGCAGUAGGGAAUCUUCCGCAAUGGGCGAAAGCCUGACGGAGCAACGCCGCGUGAGUGAUGAAGGUCUUCGGAUCGUAAAACUCUGUUAUUAGGGAAGAACAUAUGUGUAAGUAACUAUGCACAUCUUGACGGUACCUAAUCAGAAAGCCACGGCUAACUACGUG
rnacentral:rRNA from 1 species